rnacentral:misc_RNA from 1 species
GUAUCCCGACAACUGAAGAGUCUCAGUAGCCACAUCCAAGUAGAGUCGUAGGCGUUCGGAAGCACGCUGACGCCGUCGAGGUCCCAAGACACAUCGCGGCACAUAACUCACUCAACCUCACUUUUCUCUCUCUAAACAGUAAUUGAGAAGCGGGCAAAGAUGUGGCGCUCGAUACGAAGGACGUCGUGCCCAGUGCCAUGGAUGACGGUGGCGCGGUGGCAGUCGACCAGUGGCAAGGAUGCAGCUGCAGCUGCUGCGCCUGCUGCGAAUUGCACUAGGGAGGCGACGAGGGCGGAUACUAGCGCCUCCGUCGAGACGCCGGAUGCGGUAAACGGCGGCAGCGCGGCACAGAGCUCUGCAAAGUCGGACGCGUACCGCUUCCCUGCGGGCGAGGUCAUGGACGCGGUGAAGAAGCGCGACUUCAAUGCGAUGCAGACGCACGCCACGAAGCUUGUUCAGAGUCAGUGGAAGGAGGAGUACAACGUGCCCGCCGCGUGCGUUGUCAUCUUUAUCGUGAUGUGGUACUGGAUUGCCUGGACGCGCCGCUCCAUUCGCCGCAAGUGCGAGGCGACGAAGGCAUCUGUGAAGCAGCAGACGGAUGAAAUGGUGGAGAUUGUGCGCAACAUGACGGAGAAGUGGAAGGUCGACAUGUCCAAGGCGAACAAGCAGAUGCAAGGCAUCAUCGACAAGAACAGUGAGCUGACGCGCGAUAUCGAUCGCAUGACCACCGCCCUGCGGUCUUGCUCUAUCCGCCCGACGGCUGCCUCCGCUGCGGCGAUCGCACCAACAGUGUCGGUGGUGAAGCGCGUUGAUCCGGUCGACGAGGAGGCGCCUGCUGAGGCGACUGAAACUGCUGCCGGCGAGAGCAGCGAGGCAUUAGCCAUGGUUGAAGAGGAUAAGGACUAGCGAGCGUGCUUACAAUGCGCUCGUUCGCGGGCGGGGGCGGCCGACUGUUGUGCGCGUGUGCACGCGCUGCGGUUGUCGCCGCUGCGGGCUUUCUGUUUUGCCACCUCCCACUUGCUUUUCCCGCAUGCUGAGGAUGGCGCGGUGUCUCGCAUCCCGGGGCUGAUGCUUUCGGAUUUGGGUGGUGGUGGUGUUGGCGAAGGGGCGAGAAGGGACGGCGUGCAAAACGGCAUCGGCCAGCACCGGGGAAUGUGGACGCGCGUGCUCGCAUGAAUCGUGUACAGCAGCUCUGAGGUGCCGAAGCUCUUCCUUGCGGCGUUCUGUGGUAUUUUCGUUGCGUGUGGAUUGACGGAAGUGGUAGCCGCUGCUCACGCUUGGCCAUGUCUCGAAAAGCAAAGCAGAUAAGCGCCUGGAGGUGAGGGUUAAGAGGAAGGGGGGUGGGACACGGAUCUGCGUGCUGUACGGAUCGGGAAAGAGCGUGCCGCAUCAGAAUCAAAACUGAUGAGCAUUUGGACUUGAUGACCGCCUCAUCUGCCUUUCCUGAUCUGCCUGCGCGGGCAGUGGCCUGGCUGAUAUCCAUGCCUUCCGCCGUCCACACCCCCUUCUCUAAAGCGUGACGCAGGUGACAUCUAUCCUCUGAUUUCUGCGUGCUGGCGUGCCGCUCCACUGUUCUCUUCUUGCGCCCGUCCACUUGCUGGAGGGAUCGGUGGGCUUCUGGGGCCUUUCUCGCUCUCUCUUUCCCUGGGCCUCCCGCUUCAGCUGCAUUUAUCUCCUCUGCGACAUUCUCUCUCCUUCUCUGUUCUUUCUCACGGGCAG